AGUGAACGCUGGCGGCGUGCCUAAUACAUGCAAGUCGAACGAGUGGGCACGGGUGAGUAACACGUGGGUAACCUCCCAUCAGAGGGGAUAACACUUGGAAACAGGUGCUAAACCGAUACUGAUGGAUGGACCCGCGGUGCAUUAGCUAGUUGGUGAGGUAACGGCUCACCAAGGCCACGAUGCAUAGCCGACCUGAGAGGGUGAUCGGCAAAAAUGGGAAGGAGACACGGGCCAGACUCCGACGGGAGGCAGCAGUAGGGAAUCUUCGGCAAUGGACGAAAGUCUGGACGAGGAAAGGCGCGUGGGUGAUGACGGGCUUCGGGUUGUAAAGCUCUGUUAAGCGGGAAGCGGUACCGGAAUAGAAAGCAACGGCUAACUACGUGCCAGCAGCCGCGGUAAUAC
rnacentral:rRNA from 1 species